AUGCCCUUCUCUAAAGAGAUACCUGCCAUUUCCCCCAGCAAGCUCUCUGGUCUGUGGAGGAGGUCAGCAUGCAGCUCUGCCUUGCCCAGCUCUCCAAGCAUACCACGGCCUGACCUGAGGGUCUGUACAGGCUGCAGGCUAUGACCUGUACAGUGCCUAAGAUGAUACAAUACCACCUAUGGAGAAAGCUCUUGUGAACAGACAUUUAGAUAGAGCUCCUCCUUCCAGGUGUUGUGGAAGAGUAGCUCCACGCUGGCUUGGCUGCAAAACACUUUAUAGAUGUAGGAGGUGGUAUCAUAAAGGAAGAUUACAGAGGAAAUGCUGGUGCUGUACUGUUUUAUUUUGGCAAAGAAAAGUCUGAAGUCAAAAAAGGUGAUUGAACUGCAGUUCAUUUGUGAACAAAUCUUUAUCCAGAAAUAGAAGUUCAAAGCUUUGGAUGACACUGAAAGAGGUUCAGGAGGUUUGGGUUCCACUGGAAAGAAUUAA
rnacentral:lncRNA from 1 species